UGGGCACGAAUGGUUAACAGCCUGACUGGGAGCUGAGAAUGUUUUGCCACGGGCAUUGCACCUGCGAGUUGGUUGGUUUGUACAGGCAUGUUGUUCGUCUGACUGCCUUCCAUGAACAUGCAGAGCUCCAGCGUCCGCACGUUCUCUAGUAUGUUCACGUUGAUGCUCUGGUUGAGUCACACAGUGGCGAGCAGGCUGGUUGGAGCUGUGAAGAGUCUUGUCUCAAGCGUUGCGUUUUAAAGGCUUCAGUCUGCAAGCUCCGCUGAAACCUCUUCAGCAUCAAAGCCACAUGGCAACCUGCAGUGAUAGACGAGUGGUGGCUCAGCAUGCGGGGCAUUGGCUGGGAAUCGAGGCCAAGUUGCCCGCAUGGAAGCUGAAGACUCCAGUGAAAAAAGCAAAGGCAGAACUUGUUUUCUUUUGGAAACAAAACAGUUCUAGUGGAAGCAACACAAAAAUCACCACGAUCUAAACCAGUCGCUGGGUGUCCUUUCUUACUCGAUAAGAGGAGUGUUCUCAUCAACAAUUCUGAGUUGAGGAAGGAAGAGGGAGAAGACGCAUAUGACAAGCCCUUUGACGUGAUCCACAAAACAUGAGAUUCAGAGGCACCUCUCUUCCCAGUUUGCCUGCUACAUAAGGUCCUGUGGCAUGUCAGAGUCACUCACACACAUAGAACACCCCCCCAACACCCCAUCCAAAGAGUUAAAUUUGCAUCCAGCCCAUCUG